AAGGGAGACCUAAUUCCGGUAGGAGACGAAAAAAAAGUAGUCCCAACCAAGAAUCAAUCCCAAAAGGUCGGAACGAGGUAUGAGGCUUUCAAACUAGGUUCUGGGUUCAUAAAAGACCUGAAUCAGGAACAAGGGCUAUUAGCUCGGGUGGUUAGAGCGCACCCCUGAUAAGGGUGAGGUCCCUGGUUCGAGUCCAGGAUGGCCCACCUGCACAGGUGGCAAAAACAAGAGAAGCUCCGAAUCAGCACCUUAUCUUAUAUACAUAUAUAAGAGAGAAUGCUGGCUCUGAGUACAGAGUCCAGAGGAACCUUGAAAACUGCAUAGAGCUAGGUGAAAAAGCCAAAAAAGAAGACCGCAA
rnacentral:tRNA from 1 species